rnacentral:hammerhead_ribozyme from 1 species
GAGUCGCUGAGGAGUCCCACAAUAGGACGAAACGGCCGUCCAGUGC